rnacentral:rRNA from 1 species
UGAGGAAUAUUGGACAAUGGGCGCAAGCCUGAUCCAGCCAUGCCGCGUGCAGGAUGACGGUCCUAUGGAUUGUAAACUGCUUUUGUACAGGAAGAAACAGUUCUACGUGUAGAACCUUGACGGUACUGUAAGAAUAAGGAUCGGCUAACUCCGUGCCAGCAGCCGCGGUAAUACGGAGGAUCCAAGCGUUAUCCGGAAUCAUUGGGUUUAAAGGGUCCGUAGGCGGUUAGAUAAGUCAGUGGUGAAAGCCCAUCGCUCAACGGUGGAACGGCCACUGAUACUGUCUGACUUGAAUUAUUAGGAAGUAACUAGAAUAUGUAGUGUAGCGGUGAAAUGCUUAGAGAUUACAUGGAAUACCAAUUGCGAAGGCAGGUUACUACUAAUGGAUUGACGCUGAUGGACGAAAGCGUGGUAGCGAACAGGAUUAGAUACCCAAGUAGUCCCUGAGCGGGCUGGCAAGGCGCAU